rnacentral:rRNA from 1 species
UACGUAGGGGGCAAGCGUUGUCCGGAAUCAUUGGGCGUAAAGAGCGUGUAGGCGGCUCGGUAAGUCCGCUGUGAAAGUCCAGGGCUCAACCCUGGAAUGCCGGUGGAAACUGUCGAGCUAGAGUCCGGAAGAGGCGAGUGGAAUUCCUGGUGUAGCAGUGAAAUGCGCAGAUAUCAGGAGGAACACCAAUGGCGAAGGCAGCUCGCUGGGACGUUACUGACGCUGAGACGCGAAAGCGUGGGGAGCAAACAGG